UGGUGGCGAUGGCAGAGAGGUCACACCCGUUCCCAUACCGAACACGGAAGUUAAGCUCUUUAGCGCCGAUGGUAGUUGGGACCUUGUCCCUGUGAGAGUAGGACGUCGCCAAGCA
rnacentral:rRNA from 1 species